UUAGAGUUUGAUCCUGGCUCAGGAUGAACGCUGGCGGCGUGCCUAAUACAUGCAAGUCGAACGAAUCUCUUUUAGAGAUGAGUGGCGAACGGGUGAGUAAUACAUAGGUAACCUGCCCCUGUGCGGGGGAUAACAGGAGGAAACUCCUGCUAAUACCGCAUAGCCAUGAGCACCGCAUGGAGCUCAUGCCAAAUAUCCUUUCGGGGAUAGCGCAGGGAUGGACCUAUGGCGCAUUAGCUGGUUGGCGGGGCAACGGCCCACCAAGGCAACGAUGCGUAGCCGGCCUGAGAGGGCGGACGGCCACAUUGGGACUGAGACACGGCCCAGACUCCUACGGGAGGCAGCAGUAGGGAAUUUUCGGCAAUGGGGGAAACCCUGACCGAGCAACGCCGCGUGAGCGAAGAAGGCCUUCGGGUCGUAAAGCUCUGUUGUAAAGGAAGAACGGCGCAUACAGGAAAUGGUAUGCGAGUGACGGUACUUUACCAGAAAGCCACGGCUAACUACGUGCCAGCAGCCGCGGUAAUACGUAGGUGGCGAGCGUUAUCCGGAAUCAUUGGGCGUAAAGAGGGAGCAGGCGGCCGCAAGGGUCUGUGGUGAAAGACCGAAGCUAAACUUCGGUAAGCCAUGGAAACCGGGCGGCUAGAGUGCGGAAGAGGAUCGUGGAAUUCCAUGUGUAGCGGUGAAAUGCGUAGAUAUAUGGAGGAACACCAGUGGCGAAGGCGACGGUCUGGGCCGCAACUGACGCUCAUUCCCGAAAGCGUGGGGAGCAAAUAGGAUUAGAUACCCUAGUAGUCCACGCCGUAAACGAUGGUCACUAAGUGUCGGGGGUCAAACCCCGGUGCUGCAGUCAACGCAAUAAGUGACCCGCCUGAGUAGUACGUUCGCAAGAAUGAA
rnacentral:rRNA from 1 species